rnacentral:rRNA from 1 species
AUAACGAUUGGAAACGAUCCGCUAAUACCGCAUGACAUAGCGGAAUCGCAUGGUUCUGUUAUCAAAGAUUUUAUCGCUGAUAGAUGGGCUCGCGUCCGAUUAGAUAGUUGGUGGGGGUAAACGGCCUACCCAAGUCGACGAUCGGUANCCGGACUGAGAGGUCGAAACGGGCCACAUUGGGACUGAGACACGGCCCAGACUCCUACGGGAGGCAGCAGUGGGGGAUAUUGCACAAUGGGGGAAACCCUGAUGCAGCGACGCCGCGUGGAGGAAGAAGGUCUUCGGAUUGUAAACUCCUGUUGUUGAGGAAGAUAAUGACGGUACUCAACAAGGAAGUGACGGCUAACUACGUG